GCAGUGGGGAAUUUUGGACAAUGGGCGAAAGCCUGAUCCAGCAAUGCCGCGUGAGUGAAGAAGGCCUUCGGGUUGUAAAGCUCUUUUGUCAGGGAAGAAACGGUGAGGGCUAAUAUCCUUCGCUAAUGACGGUACCUGAAGAAUAAGCACCGGCUAACUACGUGCCAGCAGCCGCGGUAAUACGUAGGGUGCAAGCGUUAAUCGGAAUUACUGGGCGUAAAGCGUGCGCAGGCGGUUUUGUAAGUCUGACGUGAAAUCCCCGGGCUCAACCUGGGAAUUGCGUUGGAGACUGCAAGGCUAGAAUCUGGCAGAGGGGGGUAGAAUUCCACGUGUAGCAGUGAAAUGCGUAGAGAUGUGGAGGAACACCGAUGGCGAAGGCAGCCCCCUGGGUCAAGAUUGACGCUCAUGCACGAAAGCGUGGGGAGCAAACAGGAUUAGA
rnacentral:rRNA from 1 species